GUCCACGCUGUAAAACGAUGCCUGCUAGCUGUUUCGAGUAUCGACCCUCGGAGUGGCGAAGCUAACGCGUUAAGCAGGCCGCCUGGGAAGUACGGCCGCAAGGCUAAAACUCAAAGGAAUAGGACGGGGACUCGCACAAGCGGUGGAGCGUAUGGUUUAAUUCGAUGACAAGCGAGGAACCUUACCAGGGCUUGAAAGUCUUACGCAAACUCCGGGAAACCGGGUCCUCCCGCAAGGGACAUAAGAUACAGGUGCUGCAUGGUUGUCGU
rnacentral:rRNA from 1 species